GAUGAAGAACGUAGCGAAAUGCGAUAAGUAAUGUGAAUUGCAGAAUUCAGUGAAUCAUCGAAUCUUUGAACGCACAUUGCGCCCGCUAGUAUUCUAGCGGGCAUGCCUGUUCGAGCGUCAUUUCAACCAUCAAGCCCCAGGCUUGUGUUGGAGCCCUGCGACCGUCCACAGCCUCCUAAAAUCAGUGGCGGGCUCGCUAUCACACCGAGUGCAGUAGUUUACUCUUCGCUCAGGACGUGUAGCGGGUUCCGGCCGUGAAACCCCCCAAUUUUCAAGGUUGACCUCGGAUCAGGUAGGAAUACCCGCUGAACUUAAGCAUAUCAAUAAGCGGAGGA
rnacentral:misc_RNA from 1 species